UCUUUGGAGAUUUAAAGUGUUCACUCAGAUGCACACAGAUGAAGCAGUGCUUCAGCUCCAAUCAGUUCCUAUCCUCUCUGGAGAUCCUGCUGGCCUUGAGGACCUCAGGCAUCAGCAAGACAACAUGAUCAAGUCAGAUACAAACGGGUCCAUUUGAGGAAAAAUCAAACAACAUGCCAACUGUGAGCUCCAGAGAAUUGAACUACAAACCAACAGAAUUCUCUCAAUCAUGCCAACAGAAUACACAAAAAAAGACAUGUUUCUUUUGCCUAAGCUACUGAGGGGGAAGCAAAAAGGGAGGCAAAGAAAAAAAGAAGGGGAAAAAUAAAACUUUUCCUUGUUAUUUUUAAAA